rnacentral:rRNA from 1 species
UGGCGGCAAUAGCGCGGUGGUCCCACCUGACCCCAUGCCGAACUCAGAAGUGAAACGCCGUAGCGCCGAUGGUAGUGUGGGGUCUCCCCAUGC